UUUAACCCUAUCCGCCCCGCCCCUGCCCCCAAUUUCCUCCGCCGCCGCCGUCCUCGGACCCGUCCCUGCCGCCACCGGCGGCCAUAGCCUCGAGCUCCCGCCCCUGCAUUGCCUGCCUUCCCUUGGCCUCUUCGCUGCCACCACAUGGGCAUCUUCGUUGGCCCGAGUCCCCACCGAUGGUGGUGAGAAUAUCCCAUUUCCCCUAACCCCAUCGCUGCAUGCCUUCCCCAGUGCCGCGGCCGUCGACAGCCCCGUCCGCCGGGGCCUUCACCGCCCACCGCUAGCUGAGGUCCAAGACAGCGCCCUCCUCUUGCUCCUCUCAGGGAAGGAUCUCGUCUCCAGCAAGCUCGACCAGGCGCCCACGCCGCCACCAAAAGCGCGAUGUCUUGAAAGGUUUCUGCAAAGUUCGUCUACUCGUCACCAACAGCAACGCUCACCCUCGGCGACUACAUAAGUUUGCAUAUUGGCAUGUACCCCCGUUUCUGUUGUUGUGCUAGAGGCAUGCCGCUGGCACCGAUGGGCCCUCAUUUAUCUUAUACAAUCCAUUUCAGAAUAUGACGUGGUAAGUCUGCAAAUGGAAUGGAUGGAUCCAUCAUUUUGCCAUCCUGAUGCUUGUACAGGGUUUCCUUUUUGUUGACCAGUUCAACUAGUCCAUCAUCUUAAACUAGGCUCGAGAAAUGAAGGUUCAGUUUAUGAGAAACAAUUUAAAUAUGUAUCAGCUUACUAUCUUGGCACAUGAGCUAUUUUUCAGUCAACGCGUGGCGGGUCCACUUGGAACUGAAUAGGCACUGGUCCUUCUUCUUCUUACUCUCCAUGAGCCCCUUAUACUACUGCUAUGGUUUAUGUGCCUACUUUUAACUCUGUCAACUAAAAUUGGGUUGCUUUGUUUCAGCUGAUCUGAUACUGUGGGUGGGAUCUAUAGAACAACCUUGAAAUCUGUCUGCGACCAGUCCACAUUCUGCACCACUCCCACAACUUGAACACCAAGGUCUUUGCCAUUUAAAUGGUUGAGAGAAUAAACUGGAUGGCUGACAAUCCGAGAAGGGCGUUGAACAAAGUGGUGGUAUCAUGGUCAAUUAUCUGUACAGCUGGGAACCACAACCACCAGCAUGCUGUGUGGGCAAUGGGCAGAGAGCAGAUGGCUACAUCGCUGGGAACCAUGGUCACCCACAUGCAGCAGAUAACGAAUGGUGGAUGGAAGGCUACCUCGCUGGGAACCAUGGUCACCCACAUGCAACAGAUAACGAAUGGUGGAUGGAAGGCUACCUCGCUGGGAACCAGGACCAUGACUUAUUAUGGGAAAUCGGUGGCGAACGGAUGGCUACCUCGCCGGGUACCUCAACUCCUAGGCACUUGGCCAACUGGUGCAUGGACGUGAUGACUUUGUGGCGUUUAUGGACCAAUCAACUUGUAAUCAUGGAUCUUAUGUGUCUUCUAGACCAUUUGUUGUUUUGUUAUUUCGGAGCUUGCAUUUUGUGCAUGUGGAUACAGACUUGUAUGUUCUGGACCAUCUAGUUGAAGUCUCUCAUACCAGCAAAUAGCGCUAUCUUUUUGUGACUUGUGUGUUCUGGAUGAUUGUUAAGAUGGUAAAAACUAUGCUUUGUCAAGAUUGAUGUGUUUGUCA